rnacentral:tRNA from 1 species
CUCUUACUAGCUCAAUGGUAGAGCAGGAUACUUCUAAUAUCUGGAUCUGAGUUCAAGUCUUGAGUAAGAAU